GGAAGUAAAAGUCUAACAAGGUUUCCGUAGGUGAACCUGCGGAAGGAUCAUUAUUGUAUAACCGAGGUGCGAGGGCUGUCGCUGACCCGAAAGGUCGUGCACGCCCGAGUGCCCUCACACAUCCAUCUCACCCCUAUGUGCACCACCGCGUGGGUCCCCCUUUGGCUUGUUCGGAGGGGGGCUUACGUUUUCACACAAACUUUGUAUGCAGUGUAGAAUGUAUUUUUUGUUUUUGCGAUCACGCAAUCAAUACAACUUUCAACAACGGAUCUCUUGGCUCUC
rnacentral:misc_RNA from 1 species